rnacentral:tRNA from 1 species
ACCUGGCUGGCUCAGUUGGAAAGCAUGCGACUCUUGAUCUUGGGGUCAUGAGUUUGAUCCCCAUGUUAGGUG